UCCGGUUGAUCCUGCCGGACCCCACUGCUAUCGGGAUGGGACUAAGACAUGCUAGUCGAGCGUCUCCAAGCUAUGGAAGAGACGCGGCACACAGCUCAGUAACACGUGGCUAACCUGCCCUUGGGACAAGGACGACCCCGGGAAACUGGGGCUAAUCCCUGAUAAGUGAGAACUCCUGGAAUGGAUUCUCGCUGAAGGGACGUUUAAACCAUGCUUCUAGGCGUCGCCCAAGGAGGGGGCCGCGACCGAUCAGGUUGUUGGUGAGGUAACGGCUCACCAAGCCUUUAACCGGUACGGGCCGUGAGAGCGGGAGCCCGGAGAUGGGCACUGAGACAAGGGCCCAGGCCCUACGGGGCGCAGCAGUCGCGAAAACUCCGCAAUACACGAAAGUGUGACGGGGCCAUCCCGAGUGCCAUCCGCUGAGGAUGGCUUUUCCCCAGUGUAUAAAGCUGGGGGAAUAAGGAGAGGGCAAGCCUGGUGUCAGCCGCCGCGGUAAUACCAGCUCUCCGAGUGGUGGGGAUGCUUAUUGGGCCUAAAGCAUUCGUAGCCUGCUUGGCAAGUCCUCCGUUAAAUCCAACGAUUCAAUCGUUGGGCUGCGGGGGAUACUGUCCAGCUAGGGGGCGGGAGAGGCCGACGGUAUCCCCGGGGUAGGGGUGAAAUCCUAUAAUCCCGGGAGGACCACCAGUGGCGAAGGCUGUCGGCUAGAACGCGCCCGACGGUGAGGGAUGAAAGCUGGGGGAGCGAACCGGAUUAGAUACCCGGGUAGUCCCAGCUGUAAACGAUGCAGGCUAGGUGUUGGCGCGGCUACGUGCCGCUCCAGUGCCGCAGGGAAGCCGUUAAGCCUGCCGCCUGGGAAGUACGGCCGCAAGGCUGAAACUUAAAGGAAUUGGCGGGGGAGCAC
rnacentral:rRNA from 1 species